CCUACGGGCUGCAGCAGUGGGGAAUAUUGGACAAUGGGCGCAAGCCUGAUCCAGCAAUGCCGCGUGAGUGAUGAAGGCCUUCGGGUUGUAAAGCUCUUUCGCACGCGACGAUGAUGACGGUAGCGUGAGAAGAAGCCCCGGCUAACUUCGUGCCAGCAGCCGCGGUAAUACGAAGGGGGCUAGCGUUAUUCGGAAUUACUGGGCGUAAAGGGCGCGUAGGCGGUGUGUCAAGUCAGGCGUGAAAGCCCCGGGCUCAACCUGGGAACCGCGCUUGAGACUGGCACGCUAGAGUUCGGGAGAGGAUGGUGGAAUUCCCAGUGUAGAGGUGAAAUUCGUAGAUAUUGGGAAGAGCACCGAUGGCGAAGGCAGCCAUCUGGACCGACACUGACGCUGAGGCGCGAAAGCGUGGGGAGCAAACAGGAUUAGAUACCCUCGUAGUC
rnacentral:rRNA from 1 species